GCAGGGGGUGGCAGUGCCUAUUGCAUCUCUGCUUUUGGAAAAGAUUAGAACUUCCUGACAACACAGCCAUACUGCAGUUCCCACAGCAGAUCUCAGAAAAUAUGCUCUCCAUGAGAGUUAUUCAUAUAACUAUUUUCAGCCGGAACCAGACAUUAUCAAGGAGAGUGCAAGAGAUUAAUCAAAAGGAAUGAAGAAGCUGGACGAAUGAACUUCAGUGUGUUAUCACUCUUUUGGGUCUUCCUUGGUGCUGUGUUUGACACGUCUCAGCCUCUGGAAGAUCCUUUUUUUAAGCCCUUUAUGGAUGGCUGCACAAGCUACCUGCUUUGCCUACAGCUGAGCAAGUUCUUUCCCGAUUAUGUCUAUCUGGAUCUUUCCUGCUUGUUGGCAAACAUAAGUGAAUUAGGAGGCAAACAUCUUUUGGAAGCUAACGAAAAAGCACUGUUCUGAGAGAAGAGAGACUUUAUGCACAAGGAUGAAGAAAGGAAAAAAAAAAAAAAAAAAACAAAACCCAAAACAGAGAGCGGUUUUACUGUUUUACUAAAGAAGACCAGAAACCUGAAAAGUUGUUGUCUGAGGAACAACCAGAAGAGAACUGUUCCACUUUUGCUUGCAGCCAGUGCCUCGAUCAACAGCACUAUCAAGUUUUCACAGAAACCACCAAUCAGGCAAUUUUUUCUAUGUUGAAGUUAGUUGCUAGAAGAAGUUUAAUAUCUUUUUAAGAUAGUGGCUUCAAACAGCAGGGAGAGAUAGAGACAGACAGAGACUGUAGAACAGCAAAAGGCCAUCUUGCCAUUCAAAAUGACCUUCACAUGCAGAGUGUAUGGGAAAUAUCUAUGCAUAGUAUUGUGAAACUUUUCUAUUGUACUUGCAACACCAGUGACUAGAAAAAGAUGCAAAAAGUAGAUAACCCAAAUUCACUUAAAAAAUCUUAGCAGAACAGUGAAUUAUAUUUUACAAUUUCACACUAACAUAAUUAAAUAGGGGAUGGGAGAAUAGCGAAAACAAGGCAAUGAAACUGAGAACAGACUGCAUGGUGAUUUAGAGAAGUUCCCUAGGCAACACUAGCCAGCAGAUCUGCAAUGUUUUAUUGGUAAUAAGGAUCCUUACUUAGAUUCGAUAUCACAAUGAUCACACAUGAUGUUUUGGGUGCACUAUACAGUGCUGCACUUCAGUGCAAAUAAAAGCUAGCAAAGAAUGUGGAACUCUGGGUCUGGCUGUGGCACCUUGUGCUCUGUGGGGUGUUUCAAGGCCGAUGCAUUCCUUCCAUUACAUUAAGGACAACAUGGUGGGGAAAGGAAGAAAAAAGACUGUAAUAGAUAUUUUUCACAAGAAGUUUGACUGAAAAGCUGUGUGGAUAGAUGGGAUCUCAAUUAUGCAAACCUACAAAGGGUAAUUUAAUCUGGUUUCUUUGUGGUGUGGUGCGUAUAUUGUUUUUAUCUUUCCAUUAAAAAUGCAGUGUGGCACAGCUGUACGGCACAAAGCCAAGGUGCCAAGUCCUGCUGAGACCAUUACAUCAUGAUUAGCCAUAAUGUGUAAAGAAGACAGAUUUACUCAGUUAUACAACACUUUUGGCAUCAAUUCAGCUACUUGUGUUCCGUGUGCAUUCAUCGAAAAUUGUUUAAUACUCACCUCUGAGAUCAUUGUGCCAGUUUCAUGCCUAUAGAUAAAGUAUAAGCCUUGCUUGGAUCAUGGCUCAUAACAGUGGACUGCCCAUAAUUUGGUCUAAUUAGAAAGUGAAGUGAUCACUGGCCCCAGUGAUUAAAAGUUAUUUUUUAUGUAAAUUAAGAAUUACAGCCUCUGACAUGUAGCUCAGCCAUGCACAUUAUUCUUUGUCAUUUAUCCAAACGUACUUUUAA